rnacentral:rRNA from 1 species
GACGAACGCUGGCGGCGUGCUUAACACAUGCAAGUCGAGCGGUAAGGCCCUUUCGGGGGUACACGAGCGGCGAACGGGUGAGUAACACGUGGGUGACCUGCCCUUAGCUCUGGGAUAAGCCUGGGAAACUGGGUCUAAUACCGGAUAUGACUCCAUGACGCAUGUUGUGGGGUGGAAAGCCUUGUGCGGCUAGGGAUGGGCCCGCGGCCUAUCAGCUUGUUGGUGGGGUGAUGGCCUACCAAGGCGACGACGCGUAGCCGGACUGAGAGGUUGGCCGGCCUCAUUGGGACUGAGACACUGCCCAGACUCCUACGGGGGGCUGCAGUAACGAAUCUUCCGCAAUGCACGAAAGUGUGACGGAGCGACGCCGCGUGUAGGACGAAGCCC